rnacentral:tRNA from 1 species
AGAAAUUUAAGUUAAUUAAACUAAGAACCUUCAAAGCUCUAAACAGGGGACCCCCCUAAUUUCUG